GUAGGUGGCAAGCGUUGUCCGGAAUUAUUGGGCGUAAAGCGCGCGCAGGGCGGUCCUUUAAGUCUGAUGUGAAAGCCCGCGGCUCAACCGUGGAGGGUCAUUGGAAACUGGGGGACUUGAGUACAGAAGAGGAAGGCGGAAUUCCAAGUGUAGCGGUGAAAUGCGUAGAGAUUUGGAGGAGCACCAGUGGCGAAGGCGGCUUUCUGGUCUGUAACUGACGCUGAGGCGCGAAAGCGUGGGGAGCAAACAGGAUUAGAUACCCUGGUAGUCCACGCCGUAAACGAUGAGUGCUAAGUGUUAGGGGGUUUCCGCCCCUUAGUGCUGCAGCUAACGCAUUAAGCACUCCGCCUGGGGAGUACGGCCGCAAGGCUG
rnacentral:rRNA from 1 species